rnacentral:tRNA from 1 species
GCGCGUUUCGUCUAGCGGUCAGGACUCCUCCCCUUCCGGGAGGCAACACGGGUUCGAAUCCCGUAACGCGCC